AGAGAAAUAUUCGAGUGAUAUAAAACGAGAUCUAAAAAAUAUUUGAAAUCGUUUUCAAAUUUGGAUAUAUUCAAAUCUGAAUUUUAAAAUAGAAUAAUAUAUGUUAAAUGGUUAUUUAAAAUAAUAUAUAAAAAUGCAGAAAUCGUGAAAAAAUUCGUUACAUAAACGGAAUUAAUUUUGGUUAUUUUUUAAAACUUGCAUAUUAUCUUUAAAGGAAAGAAUAUAUUCAAACAUGAAAAAAAUAUCUUAAUAUUUCUCAACAUAGUGUUUACAAAAUCCCCCAAUAUAUCAUUCUCAAAUAGUAAACCAAAAUAAUUAAUCCUAUUAAAAUCUAAUUUAUUACUGUACAUGAAUAUUAGUGUUAUUAUUUGAAAAAUAAAAUGUCUACAUAAUUAAUUAAUAAUGCUAAUAAUGUUUUUUAUUUUUUUUUUAGCAUGUUUCCAACUUUGAGAUUUUACUUCCUUAGGUAUUUACAGCAGAAUAUACCCUGAUAUGCGCAAUUGCUGGUUACAAAAAGCCAUAUAUCUCCCUAAUGGAUGGAAUAACAAUGGGAUUUGGCCUUGGCCUUUCCGGACAUGGUCGAUACCGUGUGAUAACAGAGAGGACGGUUCUAGCCAUGCCGGAAAAUGGAAUUGGGUUGUUCCCAGAUGUCGGGUUUUCAUAUAUAGCAGCUCAUAGCCCUGGGGGAGGAACUGUUGGUAUGUUCAUAUGAAAUUCUGUAACUGGCUGCUAUUUACGUAUUGAUUUCCCAAAUGAAACUUUUGUUGCCCAAUAAUAUCUGCAGAUGCUUAUCGUGGUUUAACUGGAAAAAGAAUCCUAAAGCAUCCGCUACAAUUCAACUUUCUAGAUUCCCAACAGCAUCAUGCUAAUAUUUUUUUUUACCAACAUCGUACUAAUACUAGCACGUGAAAAAUGAUCCAAACAAACAAAAACACCAAAACAGCCAACACAAAAAAAUAUUAAAGGAUUGAACUAUUUCUUUUGGUUUAGUCUUUGAAGAAAUUUUUGUUUUACAGAAAGUAUUUGUAUAAGGUUAGAUUCAUCUUAAUUUUCAAAUUAUUAAUGGUUACACUACA